GAAAUAUGCUCAAAUUUGGGAAUAUCUCAGAGAUGAAUUUGAGUUGACUCAAAGAUUUGCAAGCCUAGACUUUAAGCUGAAAUUUGUUGAGCACAAUAUACGAUUCCUUCAAGAAAUUCUUCAAAAUAGGAAGUCAGAUUUCCUCGAAUGGCUUAUUAUUAUACUGAUUGGUGCAGAGAUCCUCAUCUCGGUUUAUGACAUUGCCCAUAAGUCAUCAAUCACUCUGUAGGUAUAAUAGAAACUUGAUAUAUGGCAUCGUACUCUAAUUAUGGCGUGGAGUUUGUUGUACAUAGGAAAUCCUCAGACAAUAUAUCUAUCUAUUUAUAUGCUAUACGACACUUGUAAAUGCAUUUAUCACUUUACACUAGGGGAAGCAUACAUCAUUUAAGCUUGGUGCCUAGGAAAUUGCAUAUUUAGUCAACUUUCUACUGUAAUUUUUUUUUUUAAAAUUG
rnacentral:misc_RNA from 1 species